rnacentral:rRNA from 1 species
UACGUAGGGGGCAAGCGUUAUCCGGAUUUACUGGGCGUAAAGAGCGCGCAGGCGGUCGUUCAAGUCGAGUGUGAAAGCCCCCGGCUCAACUGGGGAGGGGCACUCGAUACUGAUCGACUUGAAUGCAGGAGAGGGAAGCGGAAUUCCCGGUGUAGUGGUGAAAUGCGUAGAUAUCGGGAGGAACACCAGUGGCGAAGGCGGCUUCCUGGCCUGUUAUUGACGCUGAGGCGCGAAAGCUAGGGGAGCAAACGGG